UUAUCCCUUUUCUUCCCAUCCUACUAUAUUCAAGCCAUCCAUAUCAACACGUGGAUCAACGCCGAUCUUCAAAAAAGCGUUUCAAAAAUCAACACACAUUAUCCAGAAGAAGAGGAAGAUGAUUCGAUUCUCGAAAGCCAGAGCAGAGUAGAGUCAAAAUCGAAUCCAAAACUUCAGAAUGAUAAGCCAUGUAAAAGGUCCAUUUCCACCGAUACCAGCCCUAGCGCAUCCAAAUUGGAACAGCGCCGUCGUCCGAUUCACCGCUCCGCUUGCUCUAACCAGAGCCAGUUGCCGGAUUGCAACCACUGCGGCGGCGAUUUUGGCAGCUGCAGUUGUGAUUGUUUCGCCGGCGCCGUCAGCCGCUGUCGAGAGUAGCAGCAACUUAUCGGAACAACAAGAAGAAAGUACUACGCUGUCUAACAUUCCGCAGACGCUUUCCGGCGAGUGCGCGCAGCCGAGCGACUGUAAGAAGGCGAGAAUUCAACGGCCGAAGUCGAGGAAGGCGGAGUCGUGUACGAUCAAGUGCGUUGGAACAUGCAUUCGAGGCGGUGAUGGAUCUCCCGGAGAAGGCCCUCUGAACAUCAGAAGACCGAUUGUUGUUUUCAAGCAAGGUUUUCGAAGUCGUCAAUACUGCCAUCGAUCACCAAUCCCUAGUCUCAGUCGAUGGUCUUUGAUCCCAGAUGCUACUUGGUCCCUAAUCUCAAUUGGCGACCCUUGAUCAGUCAUUAGUCAGCGAUCCUCAACCUUGUUGCUACGAUUGACGGUUCGGUAAUUGUUAACCACCGACUACUGUCGGUGACCAACUCUAACCACCACUAAAAUUUGAAGUUAUUAGUUCGUAUCUCGUGUUUGCAUAUAUUAAGUUGUCAACGAAGUCAUGCCUGUUGGGUGAUGAAAGUCUCACAUCGACUAAUUUAGGGAAUGAUCAUGGGUUUAUAAUCAAAUAACCUUCUCUCUCCAUUGAUAGGAGACCUUUUGAAGAAGCCUAAAGCAAAGCCACGAGAGCUUAUGCUCAAAGUGGACAAUAUGUUACCAUCAUGGAGAGUCCUAACCAUGCCUAACUUUAAAACCAAUU